GACAGAGGUGCCAAGCGUUAGGCGGAAUCACUGGGCUUAAAGCGUGUGUAGGCGGGCGAUCAAGUACCUUGUGAAAUCCCACGGCUCACCCGUGGAACUGCUGGGCAUACUGGGCGUCUUGGGCCAACUAGGGGCAGCCGGAACAAGCGGUGGAGCGGUGAAAUGCGUAGAUAUCGGAAAGAACACCAACGGCGAAAGCACUCUGCUGGGCCGACACUGACACUGAGAGACGAAAGCUAGGGGAGCGAAUGGG
rnacentral:rRNA from 1 species